AAAAAGUCUAACAUUGCUGUUGUUCGUUUAAUGUGUAUUUUCUCGUUGAAAUAGCUUAAAAUUAUUAUUUUUUUCAUUUAAAGUAAACAUUUUAGUUUAUAUUUAUGGUUGAAUCCAUUAUUUUACAUUGAUACAAUAUAAAUUGGCAGCGGGACAUUAAACUGAAUUUAUUAAUUUGAUCAGAGCAUUUUUAUUAGAUUAAGCAUGAUUUGCACAUGCGCAUUGUUGAGUUGGAGUUCCCGCUCUCUGAUUCAAAAAAAAAAAAAAACGUCAGUCACAGUUGAACUGUCUGUGAAGAACACAACACACAAUCUGUUGAGCGGCGGCCGUGACGGUACACUUCAACAGACGUCAGACCCCUCCAGCCAGGCUGCGACACAGAACUACGAGCAACAUUGAUACAGAUCAAUGCCGAGUUCUUGCGAAUUACAACAGUUCCCUUGGAGACAAAGUUCUUGGUGCAGUUGGACAAGCACUCCACCAAACUGUUGGAGGUCAUCAGGAGCAAGGGAGGAGUUGUGAAAGAGAAGACCACCAGGACCUUGCAGGUUUUAGAUGAGGAAAAUGAGGUUGAAGAACUGGAGCAGGCAACCAUGGCGAUCUUUAUCACUGGGAAAG